UAGCGCCAGGGUCAAUAAUGGCCGACGAGGAUAGUAGUUAUCGAAAAUUCGGCGGAUGCUACUACGGUUUUAGUGUAGUCGUAAGAUAUAUUUAUAAAAAGUAAAAUCAAAAUUAUAACAAAGA
rnacentral:ncRNA from 1 species